rnacentral:rRNA from 1 species
ACAGGACAGUGGCGGAUGGGUGAGUAACGCGUAAGAAACCUGCCUUUCACACCGGGAUAGCAGCUGGAAACGGCUAUUAAUACCGGAUGACACUUUUUCCCCGCAUGAGGAAGAGGUUAAAGAAUUUCGGUGAAAGAUGGUCUUGCGUCUGAUUAGCUAGUUGGUGGGGUAACGGCCCACCAAGGCGACGAUCAGUAGCCGGCCUGAGAGGGUGAACGGCCACAUUGGGACUGAGACACGGCCCAAACUCC